UAAGGCGGGACUCCACGCCCGCCGCUCCCCGCGGACUCGGGGCCGCCCACCCAGCCCGGAGGUGGCCCCCGGCCGGACGUCCUUCGGUCCCCGCACGCCCGGGGCUGCGUCUCCGGAGUCCCCACGGCCUGGUCUGGAGGCGUGUCUGGAACUCGGAGCAGGCGGGACCCUCGCCGGCGUCGCAGAGCCUGGGGUUCGAAACCCAGCUCCGGCAGUCUCUCUCCGCGCCCGCGGACGCCCGGCCUCUGAGCCUCAGUUUCCCGGCCCGGGCGAGGCACCCCGGAGGCGGAGGGUACGGAGCCCUGAGAGGCCACAGAUCUUACACACCUGGAUGGAGGCUCUGCACGUCUUGGCUCCAGCGUCUUAGAGUGAUGCUUGCACAGGCACAACCACUGGCACAAGACCAUGGAAUCCCUCCUUGUUCCCUGCAUACAAUCUCUAUGUGCUAUAAAAGAGGGCCUAAUGAGCCCCUCCACCACACCCAGACCCACGGUCAGGCGGCAUCUGAGAGAAAGCUUCACUCCUGCAGGCCCACUCCUGCACGUGUCCUUAAGCUCACAGCUCAUCCUCCUACCUUCAAACCCGACUAGUAUUCAUCAUCCUCUCCCCCCAUCUCUUGCAAAGAAAAUAUGGCGACUAUUUCUGAAACGAAAGGAAGAACUUAUCCAAAGUGUUGACACCUAUGCUCCAGGCUGACUUCCGCCCCCAAUGGCCCUGCGAUGCUAGCUCCUCGAUGGACCUCUGGCACCAAGUGGAAGCUGACAGCCAGCUGAUCACUGCUCUAAGGGACCCUGCCUAAUUGACUUCAGCCCUGAUUACUGACUGAUAC